rnacentral:rRNA from 1 species
UACGAAGGGGCUAGCGUUGUUCGGAAUUAUCUGGGCGUAAGCGCGCGCAGGCGGUCUUCCAAGUCAGUGGUGAAAGCCCGGAGCCUCAACUCCGGAACUGCCAUUGAAACUGUUAGACUUGAGGAUGAGAGAGGUGAGUGGAAUUCCCAGUGUAGAGGUGAAAUUCGUAGAUAUUGGGAAGAACACCGGUGGCGAAGGCGGCUCACUGGCUCAUUACUGACGCUCAGGCGCGGAAUAGCGUGGGGAUCAAACAGG